AGCAGCCGCGGUAAUUCCAGCUCCAAUAGCGUAUAUUAAAGUUGUUGCAGUUAAAAAGCUCGUAGUUGAAUUUCGGGGUUAGUAGGUUGGUCAUGCCUCUGGUAUGUACUGGUCUCACUGAUUCCUCCUUCCUGAUGAGCCGUAAUGCCAUUAAUUUGGUGUUGCGGGGAAUUUGGACUGUUACUUUGAAAAAUUAGAGUGUUUAAAGCAAGCUAACGCUUGAAUACAUUAGCAUGGAAUAAUGAAAUAGGACGUUCGAUCCUAUUUUGUUGGUUUCUAGGAUUAACGUAAUGAUUAAUAGGGAUAGUUGGGGGCAUUAGUAUUCAAUUGUCAGAGGCGAGAUUCUUGGAUUUAUUGGAGACUAACUACUGCGAAAGCAUUUGCCAAGGAUGUUUUCAUUAAUCAAGAACGAAAGUUAGGGGAUCGAAGACGAUCAGAUAUCGUCGUAGUCUUAACCAUAAACUAUGCGACUAGGGAUCGGAUGAUGUUUAAUUUUUAAUGUACUCUA
rnacentral:rRNA from 1 species